rnacentral:ncRNA from 2 species
AACGUGCUCCGGGGUCAGUGAAAGUCUGAACCGGCGGUGACAGUCCGCGACCCGCGCAAGCGGUUGACGGGGUGGAAUUCCCCGACCGACGGUGACAGUCCGGAUGGGAGGCGCACGCG